UUUGGAAAUUCAAGUUGUUAAAUUUGGAAUAAUAGAUGGUAAAGGAGGUAAUGAAUGCUAGAACAUCAGUUAUGCAAAGAGAAUCUCAAAAAUUAGUCCACUUUAUGUUUCAUGCUUUGAGUAGAAAAAUUUCCUCCUUAGAAAUUUUAUAACGAGAUCUUUGGACUCUAGAAGUAGGGGUGUGCAUGGUUCAGUAUGGUUCCAUGAAUUG
rnacentral:misc_RNA from 1 species